rnacentral:rRNA from 1 species
AGAGUUUGAUCAUGGCUCAGGAUGAACGCUAGCGGAAGGCCUAAUACAUGCAAGUCGAGCGGUAGAAUUGACUUCGGUUGAUUUGAGAGCGGCGCACGGGUGAGUAACGCGUACAUGACCUACCUUCAAGAACUGGAUAGCCCUGGGAAACUGGGAUUAAUACGGUAUGGUAUUAGUAUAAAUAGAUGAUACUAAUUAAAGCUGAGGCGCUUGAAGAUGGAUGUGCGUCUGAUUAGCUAGUUGGCGGGGUAAAGGCCCACCAAGGCGACGAUCAGUAGGGGGCGUGAGAGCGUGAUCCCCCACACGGGUACUGAGACACGGACCCGACUCCUACGGGAGGCAGCAGUAAGGAAUAUUGGACAAUGCCCGCAAGGGUGAUCCAGCCAUUCCGCGUGGAGGAAGAAGGCCCUAUGGGUUGUAAACUUCUUUUAGAUGGGAAUAAAGUUACGGAUUGAUCUGUAUUUGAAGGUACCAUCAGAAUAAGCACCGGCUAACUCCGUGCCAGCAGCCGCGGUAAUACGGAGGGUGCGAGCGUUAUCCGGAAUUACUGGGUUUAAAGGGUGCGUAGGCGGAUUAAUAAGUCUGGGGUGAAAGUCUGUCGCUUAACGAUAGAAUUGCCAUGGAUACUGUUGAUCUUGAAUAGGGUUGAGGAUAGCGGAAUGUGACAUGUAGCGGUGAAAUGCAUAGAUAUGUCAUAGAACACCAAUUGCGAAGGCAGCUAUCUGGGCUUUUAUUGACGCUGAGGCACGAAAGCGUGGGGAGCGAACAGGAUUAGAUACCCUAGUAGUCC